rnacentral:tRNA from 1 species
AAUGGAGAGCCUGAUUAAAGGACUAUCGUGAUAGGAUAAAAGAUGUAGAACCAGAAAUCUACCUUCAUUA